rnacentral:rRNA from 1 species
AACGAACGCUGGCGGCAGGCCUAACACAUGCAAGUCGAACGAAGGCCCGGAGCUUGCUCCGGUCACCUUAGUGGCGGACGGGUGAGUAACACGUGGGAAUUUGCCCAGGAGUGGGGAAUAACGUUUGGAAACGAACGCUAAUACCGCAUACACCCUACGGGGGAAAGGCUUCGGCCGCUCUUGGAUAAGCCCGCGUCAGAUUAGCUUGUUGGUGAGGUAAUGGCUCACCAAGGCGACGAUCUGUAGCUGGUCUGAGAGGAUGAUCAGCCACACUGGGACUGAGACACGGCCCAG